rnacentral:snRNA from 1 species
UUUGGUCCCAAGGCUCGC